rnacentral:lncRNA from 1 species
UUUUUAUUAUAACUAUCAUAAAUGGAGAAAGCCGAAAAUAAACCCCAUCAUUUAUGUUUUAUGAUAUUUUUUGCAGACACUUAUUUUAUUUUGCAAGUUCGGGUUAUAUUCAACUGAGGGAAAAUAUACAUUUCUAAAUGUUCACUAAAAUUUAAAUAGUUUCUGCUUAGCAAUAAUAUAAACUGUUAAUAUUAUUUCCAAAAAAAAAUUGUAUCUUUCCAGUAAAAGAAAAAAAAAUUUCCUUUUUCUAUAUAUAUAUUUGCAUCUUCGCUUUGUAAGCGGCGACUUAGCUCUCUCUUUACGUUUUCGCAAACAUUAUUUAUCAAUCCCACUUUCUCGAUAAUCUGCGAGCAUCCCGAUCUGAGAA